rnacentral:ncRNA from 1 species
AAAUAAAAUUUUAUGAUUUAAAAAAUUUAUUUUAAGUUUAAUUUACAUAUAAAUUUUAGUAUGAAUUUUAUUUAAUUUAAAAAAUUAAAUGAUUUAUUUAUAGUAAUUAAAAUUAAAAAUUUAAGAAAUUAAGAUUUAGUAAUAUUUUAAUUAAAUAACAAAUUUUGUGCCAGCAGUUGCGGUUAUACAAAAAUUUGAAUAAAUUUUAUUAGUAAAAAUAAAUAAAUUUAAAUAAUUAAAUUAGAUUUUAAAUUAUUAAGUGAAAUUUUAAUUUAAAUAAAAUUUAAAUAAAAAUUAUGAUUUAAAAAAUUUUAAUAAUACACUAGGAUUAGAUACCCUAUUAUAAAAAAUUAAUUUAUAUUACUAAAAAAGUAUAUAAAAUAUAUUGAAACUUAAGUAAUUUGGCGGUAUUUUAGUUCAUUUAGAGGAAUCUGUUUAGUAAUUGAUAAUCCACGAAUAAAUUUACUUAAUUUAAAAUUUUAUAUAUCGUUGUUAAAAAAAUAUUUUUUAUAAAAAAUAAUAUUUUAAAAUUAAAAUUUGAAAUUAAUUCAGAUCAAGAUGUAGAUUAUAAUUAAGAUAGAAUGGAUUACAAUAUAAAAAAUAUAAAUGAAUAAUAAAUUUAAAAAAAUUAUUUGAAAGUGGAUUUAAAUGUAAUUUUAUUUAAUUUAAUAAAAUGAUUAAAAAUUGAAAUAUGUACAUAUUGCCCGUCACUUUCAUUUUAAAGUUGGAAUAAGUCGUAACAAAGUAGGGGUACUGGAAAGUGUUCCUAGAAAGAUA